GCAAGUCGAACGGUAACAUAAAGAAGCUUGCUUCUUUGAUGACGAGUGGCGUACGGGUGAGUAAUGCUUGGGAAUCUAGCUUAUGGAGGGGGAUAACUACGGGAAACUGUAGCUAAUACCGCGUAGAAUCGAGAGAUGAAAGUGUGGGACCUUCGGGCCACAUGCCAUAGGAUGAGCCCAAGUGGGAUUAGGUAGUUGGUGAGGUAAAGGCUCACCAAGCCGACGAUCUCUAGCUGGUCUGAGAGGAUGACCAGCCACACUGGGACUGAGACACGGCCCAGACUCCUACGGGAGGCAGCAGUGGGGAAUAUUGCGCAAUGGGGGCAACCCUGACGCAGCCAUGCCGCGUGAAUGAAGAAGGCCUUCGGGUUGUAAAGUUCUUUCGGUAGCGAGGAAGGCAUUUAGUUUAAUAGACUAGGUGAUUGACGUUAACUACAGAAGAAGCACCGGCUAACUCCGUGCCAGCAGCCGCGGUAAUACGGAGGGUGCGAGCGUUAAUCGGAAUAACUGGGCGUAAAGGGCACGCAGGCGGUGACUUAAGUGAGGUGUGAAAGCCCCGGGCUUAACCUGGGAAUUGCAUUUCAUACUGGGUCGCUAGAGUACUUUAGGGAGGGGUAGAAUUCCACGUGUAGCGGUGAAAUGCGUAGAGAUGUGGAGGAAUACCGAAGGCGAAGGCAGCCCCUUGGGAAUGUACUGACGCUCAUGUGCGAAAGCGUGGGGAGCAAACAGGAUUAGACACCCUGGUAGUCCACGCUGUAAACGAUGUCGAUUUGGGGGUUGAGCUUUGAGCUUGGCGCCCGUAGCUAACGUGAUGAAUCGACCGCCUGGGGAGUAC
rnacentral:rRNA from 1 species